UACGUAGGUGGCAAGCGUUGUCCGGAUUUACUGGGCGUAAAGAGCGCGCAGGCGGCUGGUCAAGUCCGAUGUGAAAUCUCCCGGCUCAACUGGGAAACUGCAUCGGAAACUGAUCGGCUUGAAGGUGGGAGAGGGUAGUGGAAUUCCCGGUGUAGUGGUGAAAUGCGUAGAUAUCGGGAGGAACACCAGUGGCGAAGGCGACUACCUGGCCCAUUCUUGACGCUGAGGCGCGAAAGCUAGGGGAGCGAACGGGAUUAGAUAACCCGAGUAGUCC
rnacentral:rRNA from 1 species